rnacentral:rRNA from 1 species
AGUGAACGCUGGCGGUAGGCCUAACACAUGCAAGUCGAACGGCAGCACAGUAAGAGCUUGCUCUUACGGGUGGCGAGUGGCGGACGGGUGAGGAAUACAUCGGAAUCUACUUUUUCGUGGGUGAUAACGUAGGGAAACUUACGCUAAUACCGCAUACGACCUACGGGUGAAAGCAGGGGAUCUUCGGACCUUUCGCGAUUGAAUGAGCCGAUGUCGGAUUAGCUAGUUGGCGGGGUAAAGGCCCACCAAGGCGACGAUCCGUAGCUGGUCUGAGAGGAUGAUCAGCCACACUGGAACUGAGACACGGUCCAGACUCCUACGGGAGGCAGCAGUGGGGAAUAUUGGACAAUGGGCGCAAGCCUGAUCCAGCAAUACCGCGUGGGUGAAGAAGGCCUUCGAGUUGUAAAGCCCUUUUGUUGGGAAAGAAAAGCAGCAGGUUAAUACCCCGCUGUUCUGACGGUACCCAAAGAAUAAGCACCGGCUAACUUCGUG